rnacentral:rRNA from 1 species
AACGAACGCUGGCGGCAUGCCUAACACAUGCAAGUCGAACGAGACCUUCGGGUCUAGUUGCGCACGGGUGCGUAACGCGUGGGAACCUGCCCUUAGGUUCGGUAUAACUCCCCGAAAGGGGUGCUAAUACCGGAUAAUGUCUUCGGACCAAAGAUUUAUCGCCUUUGGAUGGGCCCGCGUUGGAUUAGCUAGUUGGUAGGGUAAAAGCCUACCAAGGCGACGAUCCAUAGCUGGUCUGAGAGGAUGGUCAGCCACACUGGGACUGAGACCCGGCCCAGACUCCUGCGGGAGGAAGCAGUGGGGAAUAUUGGACAAUGGGCGAAAGCCUGAUCAAGCAAUGCCGCGGGAGUGAUGAAGGCGGUAGGGUUGUAAAGCUCUUUUACCCGGGAUGAUAAUGACAGUACCGGGAGAAUAAGCUCCGGCUAACUCCGUG